UAAGAGGGCUGGGAGAGUGGAUCAGAGCCAGAGCACUGCCUGGAAGGAGGGGGCCCAGGGUCUGACCCGCAGCACUGUA
rnacentral:miRNA from 1 species